AGGGGGAGGAGGAGGAAGGGGAGGAGAGGAGAUGAAGUAGCCAGAUCUGAUCUGAGAGAUAGGAGGAGAAUAUGAGGAGGAAGCUGGUCUGAGACUUAACCGAUUAGAUGUGGAAGAGAAAUAUUUACUCCCGGUUGGUAUUCCCAACCGGACUAAGAUCCUCGGCCUCCUGACAUGCCUCUGACAGGCCACGAACCGGGACAAAAGAUCAAAAUUUUUAUAACCGGGUCUAAAAACAAUCUUUAGUCCCGGUUCUUUUUGGAUCUAGGACUAUUGUGGAAUUUGCUAGACCGACCAAAGAUGGUUUCUCCAUCAGUGAUGGCUACAAUAUUUGUAUAAUUAAUUAAAAGAACCCAUGUAUUUCAGCUAAGUCUAGAACUCAUGUAUAGUAGAUCAAAGUAAAAUUGAUUAAGGGUGUAGCAGUAUGAAACUUUAGGUGUGCCCAUUAAUUUGUGCAAUUUGCAUAGUAAUACUUCGGGUUUUUGUGGAGGUUACACUUUGUCGAGUGAAUUUAAAUUUGGUUUUGUAUAUGCGCAAAUAGAUUAGAAAUAUUAAGUAUAAAUGCACAAAUAAACACCCAAUCUACAAAUCGAUAAUUAUCUCUAUAUCCCCACAAAGAUAUAUAUAUCUGUAAUAGCCUACCCUCCAAAACCACGAAGCCCAACCCAACCGAUGAGUGGGUCCACUUACACAUACCACACCACUUACACUUUUAUUCUCACUUCGUGUAAAUAGGGUUAACCGGGAAAUGAUAUGGUUGGAAUGACAAUGUUAACAGCUUAAUAGGAAGAACAGAUCUUGGGCACUCAGAUAGAAGUUGGCAACUAUGUAUUAUCUCUUCUCAAACCCAACUGGGUUGAGCCGCCGCCGCCAAUGCCGCCAAGUUGCCAAGCCUAUGUUCUUGAGUAGGGUACUCUAUUUUUAUAUUACAGUUUCACCAACCAUUCUUUCCUUCUACGCUACUGCUAGCUACGACAAAGAGAAAUGGACCUGUUACAAGGCCCAGUCCGGCCCAACGUACUUAGCAUUCGGUUUGACAAAUCUUGUUGUUUGCCUUGGCGCCACCUCCUGAUCCUCCUGGUCAGCAUCCAGCAUGAUCUGCUCCUCAGCCUCCACCCUUGCUGCAUCAUCGGUCUUAGUAACAUCAGAGCCUCCAGGAUCGCUGGCAAUCCCCCUCCCUUGGAAUUUGGCUUGCCCCCAAGCCAAGGCAGCAGGAAAACAAGAACGCAAGUCCUCCAAGUCCUCCCAAGUCACAUCCUCCGCUGCAGAAUUAGUCCAAUGAAUAAGAACUUGUGGAAUAGUUGAGUUACCCUUUUUGAUAAGACGAGUAUCCAAUAACUAGGAGGGAAUCUGGAAAACACUGUCAGCAGCAGGCAGAGUAGUCUGUAUAGUGCCCUUAAACCCCUUAGCGUCCUUCAAUUGAGAGACAUGGAAAACUGGGUGUAUAGCACUUGUAGCAGGUUUGCUCGAGUGAUUUGCUCGAGUGGCAAUAGAGGUUUGGAUGUAAGGCUGCAGUUUAAGAUAAACCCAGUCACCAAUAGCAAAAUCCCGGAAAUUGCGUUUCUUGUUAGCCAUAUGCUUCAUUUGUUGUUGUGCACGAUUGAGUUGUUGCUGGACCAGUGACUGCAUAAGAUUUCUUUCCUUGAGCCAUUGUGCAAGAUCAGGAAUGGCACAAUCUUCAGCACAUAUACCAAAAUGGCUGGGAGCAUAGCCAUAUAGUACUUCAAAAGGAGUAGAAUGUAAGGAGGAGUGAUAGGAUGUGUUAUACCAACACUCCGCUAAGUGCAACCAGGUGACCCAUUUGGAAGGGGUGGCAUGAACAAAACAUCUGAGAUACAUUUCUAGGCACUGGUUGACUCGUUCGGUUUGGCCAUCCGUUUGUGGGUGAUAGGCCGAACUGAGGUGAAGUUUUGUUCCUGACCACUGGAAUAACUGCUCCCAAAGCUGGCUAGUGAAGAUUCUGCACGGUCAGAAACAAUAAUCUGAGGAAGACCAUGUAACUUAAAAAUGUGAACCAUGAACACCUUAGCUACAUCAAUUGCAGUGAAUGGGUGAGCCAAAGGAAUGAAAUGACUAUACUUGGAAAAUCUAUCCACCACGACAAGAAUGCAGUUAUAAGAGUUCGAGCGAGGCAAACCUUCUAUGAAAUCAAGGGAAAUGGCUUGCCAAGCUCCUGCUGGCACAGGUAGUGGUUGAAGCAGCCCUGGAUACUUAGCCCUAUCCGGUUUAGCUUGCAAACAAAUUUGGCACUGCUGGACAUAUUGCUUGACUUGAGAUUUCAUGCCCUGCCAAGCAAACAGAUGUUUCAAUUUGGCAUAAGUAACAGGGAACCCUGAAUGACCUCCAAUUGGGCUAGCAUGCAACUCUUGAAUCAAUUUGGAUUGUAAAAUAGGGUUAUUACCAACCCAGAUUCUGCCCUUAUAUUUGAUCACGCCGGAAUGCAGAGUAUACCCAGGUUUAGCUGCAGAGUUUAGAGUCAAUGCAGUUAACAAGUCAGAAGAAUGGGCAUCAUGUUGAUAGCCCUGAACUACCUCCUAGAGCCAGAGUGGAGUGCAACUAGAGAUAGCAGACAGUUCAGAAUCACCUUGAAAUUUCCUUGACAGUGCAUCAGCGGCAGCAUUAGUUGUACCCUUUCGAUAGCAGAUUUUGUAAGAAAGACCAAGUAGUUUAGUAAACGCCUUAUGCUGCCAAGGUGUAUGGAUACGCUGAUCAGACAAAUGAAUCAAGCUAUGAUGGUCAGUUAGAAUGGUGAACUCGCCCAUCUGGAGGUAGGAACGCCAGUGAUCAAUUGCUGUUAAAAUAGCCAUGCAUUCUUUUUCGUAUGUGGAAAGUCCUUUGGUUCUAGGCCCUAAAGCCUUGCUGAUGUAUGCUAAGGGAUGACCAUUCUAAGAUAAUACUGCUCCAAUGCCUGCUUUAGAUGCAUCUGUUUCCACUGUAAAAGGUUUACUGAAGUCAGGCAAUGCCAACACUGGGGCUGAAACUAAUGCCUGCUUGAGGUGCUGAAAAGCCAGAUCAGUUGCAUCAGACCAGACAAAAGAUGUAGGAACAGGCCAGUCAACUACUUCCUUAAUUUUGCCAGGAUCUGUAGAUACACCUGCUGCACUGAUGAUGUGACCAAGAUAUGUAAGCUGUUGUUGAGCAAAGGAGCAUUUGGACAAUUUAACCUGCCAUUGAUGUUUCUGCAGAAGGGAUAAAACUUGUUGCAAAUGGUCCAAAUGUGAGGCUAGGUCAGGACUGUAGAUGAGAAUGUCGUCGAAGAAUACCAAGGCAAAUUUUCUGAGGACAGUUUUCAAUGUUGCAUUCAUAGCUCCUUGGAAAGUUGCUGGAGCACCAGUGAGUCCAAAUGACAUAACCUUGUAUUCAUAAUGCCCAGUGUGAGUCUGAAAGGCUGUUUUAUGUUCA